rnacentral:rRNA from 1 species
AGCGAACGCUGGCGGCAGGCCUAACACAUGCCAGUCGAACGAACUCUUCGGAGUUUGUGGCGGACGGCUGAGUAACACGUGGGAACGUGCCCUUUGGUUAGGAAUACCUCAGGGAAACUUGUGCUAAUACCGAAUGUGCCCUUCGGGGGAAAGAUCUAUUGCCAUUGGAGCGGCCCGCGUCUGAUUCGGUAGUUGGUGAGGUAAUGGCUCACCAAGGCGAGGAUCAGUAGCUGGUCUGAGAGGAUGACUAACCACACUGGGACUGAGACACGGCCCAGACUCGUACGCAAGGGAGGAGAAGAGAAUAUAACGGGAUGGGGGAAGGCCUGACGCAGCCGUGCGGGGGAAAUGGUGAAGGUCGUAGUAUUGUAAAAUUCUUUCACCGGAGACGAUAGUGACGGUACCCGGUGAAGAAGCCCCGGCUAACUACGUG